UUCCUGUUUGCCAAGCCUCAUGAUGCUCUGUGUUUUUUGUAAGAAUACACUGUUAUUGAAGAUCUUUAUAGAACAGUCCCUCUUUGUUCCCAUCUGUUCUUGGGCUUCCAAAUCCCCUUUUCAUUUUCAGUUCACCUUAUGGAGAGGAGCACUUCCUCAAAAGACCCUGCCUGAUUUUAACUCUGCUGAGACCACUGGAGCACAGCAAGGAUUGGUGAUAACCUCAGCUGCAGAUUAG
rnacentral:lncRNA from 1 species